CCAAGUCCUACACGGCGUUGUAUGUCAGGGAUCUUGCGAGAACAUCGACGAUAACCAGCACUAUGAUCUCUUCAAUGACGUUGCCCAAGUCGUUUCCGUUCGAAUUUGCCACGACCAUGCAACUGGGAAGUCCUUGGUUACGGCUACGGUAGCAGUUACAAUGAAUUUGGAUACGUCAAUCUAUCACAAGGGUCUAUUCCAUCUCUGUCCGUGUUUUGGCAAUAUUCUAUCUUGCAAGGUUGCUACGGAUGCCUCUGGCCGGUCUAAAGGUUAUGGCUUCGUGCAGUUUGAGAGGGAAGCAUCUGCAAAAGAAUUUGGAUACGUCAAUCUAUCACAACUUUCUUUCUUUGCACGGUCA
rnacentral:sRNA from 1 species